AUUUUUUCAGUACCUUGUUCCAAGGAGCUGCUGCCAAUCAAGUGCACCUGAAAUGAAGCUGACUUGCUUUCCUGGAUGAACAUAUUUGGGAAAAGUAAGGAAUGUAAAAGGAACAAAACAGUUGUCAAAAAACACAAACGGAGAAGUCAAGAUAUAAUUAUAGUUCUAUUCCUUAUGUGGGAGAAGAAAGAAAAAUGAAACUAAUAGAAAACUCCAUCCCAGAAAUACCUAAGAGGAGGAAGAAGGCUGAUGUACAAAGAAAAGGAGGGAAACAUAAGAGAAUGUUUUAACAC